rnacentral:rRNA from 1 species
GACGAACGCUGGCGGCGUGCCUAAUACAUGCAAGUUGAGCGCUGAAGGUUGGUACUUGUACCAACUGGAUGAGCAGCGAACGGGUGAGUAACGCGUGGGGAAUCUGCCUUUGAGCGGGGGACAACAUUUGGAAACGAAUGCUAAUACCGCAUAAAAACUUUAAACACAAGUUUUAAGUUUGAAAGAUGCAAUUGCAUCACUCAAAGAUGAUCCCGCGUUGUAUUAGCUAGUUGGUGAGGUAAAGGCUCACCAAGGCGAUGAUACAUAGCCGACCUGAGAGGGUGAUCGGCCACAUUGGGACUGAGACACGGCCCAAACUCCUACGGGAGGCAGCAGUAGGGAAUCUUCGGCAAUGGACGAAAGUCUGACCGAGCAACGCCGCGUGAGUGAAGAAGGUUUUCGGAUCGUAAAACUCUGUUGGUAGAGAAGAACGUUGGUGAGAGUGGAAAGCUCAUCAAGUGACGAUAACUACCCAGAAAGGGACGGCUAACUACGUG